AAUUUUUAACCUCGCAAAUCGUAAACUUCAUAAAUAAAACAGCAAUUGCAUUUUAAAUACUACCGCCUCCACAAAUACAUACUACAAUUCCAUUACUGCCAGCAGCAACAAAGAAUACUCAUUAAAAAUGUUCAUCAUCGUCGAAACCCCAGCAGAAGAACGAAACGAAAGAAACAACAAUGAUGAUCAACCCAGCAGACAACAAACAUAGUAACUCCAAAUAUGGAGCAACAAGUCAAACAGUUUGUUCGUUUUGUUGUCCCAUUGUCUCUUGGUGACAUCUCAGAACAGAGGAAUAAACCAGCAUCAGCAAGCAGCAGCACAACAAAUAAGAAGAACAAAAAAAAUUAAAUAUUAAACGUAAUAAUAAUGCGGAAUUUGUAAUCAAACUUAAAACAAGUAUGAUAAUGAAGUUGGAUAAGCACGACAGUAAAA